rnacentral:rRNA from 1 species
UACGUAGGGUCCGAGCGUUGUCCGGAAUUAUUGGGCGUAAAGGGCUCGUAGGCGGUCCGUCACGUCGGGAGUGAAAACUCAGGGCUCAACCCUGAGCGUGCUUCCGAUACGGGCGGACUAGAGGUAUGCAGGGGAGAACGGAAUUCCUGGUGUAGCGGUGGAAUGCGCAGAUAUCAGGAGGAACACCGGUGGCGAAGGCGGUUCUCUGGGCAUUACCUGACGCUGAGGAGCGAAAGUGUGGGGAGCGAACAGG